rnacentral:lncRNA from 1 species
AGACCACUAGGCACUGGCACUCACAUACAUUCUCCAGCUGCAUACUUCACACUGUACUCAGCGCGUGCCAUGGCAACCUGCAGGAGCCUUCUCAUGGUCCCGGUCACUCUCUGCUUCUUCCUCCUCGUGCUCCCAGCACAGAGCAAGGAGAACCUUGCCGUCGUCAUCUUCUACGGCACAGCCCGAUGCAAGAGCAACCCCUCCAAGAUCAUCAGCAGUAAGCGAUCUUAUAUUAACUGAUAUACUCGAUCAUGGACCCAAACUUCAGCUAUCAUACGCUAUAGUAUAUCAUAUGUAUAAUCCACUCCUGCAUGCAGAUGCAACCCUGCAUGUGACCAUCAAUGGCACCACCCUCGCCACCGGCAAAACGACGAGCAUGGGCCGGUUCUUGAUGGCGGCGAGGGUGACCUCAAAAGAUCAGCUCAGCUCCCUGGUGAGCAAAAAGGCGGUCAUCACCGCUCCUCGACAGGCGUGCGGCAUGCCUGCAGCGUCCGUCGCUGCGAGGAAGCUGGCUGCACAGGCGGACCUGAAUGGCCACAGGAUUCUCGCCGACAAUUCUGGCGACUUGGUUGAUGAUGAUGAUAUCCGGGAGAUAAUUGAUCUGCUCGGUGACCCUACAGUCCCCGAUCCUAUACAAAGACUCAUUGAUGAUAUCUUGAGUUCGGGUGAGACUAGUGCAGGCUAUAUGGACAAUAUCACCGUCUUCACUGAUCAGGUGCCAGUGCCGGAGGUUGCUGCCUUCUGGAAUUUCAUUGAGAACAGUGGAUUGGACGCCUCUGUUUUCGUGGACGUCCUCAACAACUUCGUGGGCAUACCCAAUAUUGAGAGGAAUAUUUAAGGCAUUGUUUGGAUAAAUCAAUCUUAAUACACAUAGAUUGAGAUGGAGAAUAAACACUACCACAUAAUGAGUUAUCCCAUAUGGCACUAUCACCAACGAUUUUAGGUAAACUGGCUGUAAUAUGUAUCAUCGCCGGUUCUAAAAUAAAUGGGGUUGUGGGAUGUUAGAACUGGCAGUGAAGCCAUCACCGCCGGUUCCAAUCAUAAACCGGCGGUGAAAGUCAACACCGUCGGCUCUUAUAAAAAUCCGUCGGUGAAACGGUCCGAUCGGAUCGAAAUCUUUUUCAAAUCCAGUUAAGCGUGCUUGACGUCCGCGCUCUCCCCUCCCCCUCCGCCACUUCUCCCUUUCUCUCCCCCAGUCCCACUUCUCUCCUCCCUCUCUCCUUAUCCUGCAAGCCCCCUCACUCCCUCCACCACCGAACCCCUCCCCCCUCCCUGUCCAUUGGGCCCCUCCUUCCCUCCCUCCCUCCCCAGCCUCCCCUCUCCUCCCCCUUUGCUCACCCCUCACCUCGUGCCUGAGGUGAGAAGCGGCGGCGGGGCGAGGCGUGGCGGGCCGACCAUCGGGGCACGGAGCGGCAACGGCUAGCGGGCUCGGCGUGACAGGAUGUAGCAGUGCGGACGAAGCGGCAGCGGUGGCAAGAUCCGGGGGUGACGGCGGCGGCGAAAUCCGGUGCACUUCCCCCUCUCCCUCUCCCCCUCCCUCCCUCCCCCCCUCUCUCCCCUCUCCCUUUCCCUCCCUCCCUCCCUCUCCCCUACCCCUGCCGGACCUACCCCUCUCCCGGCCGCAUCCUGGCGGCUGCGCCCGGCCGCCCCUCUCCCACGACCCACCGGCCACCCGUUCUUCGGCGGUCCGGUGAGGAGGAGCGGCGGCUGGCUAGGAAGAACGGGUGGCCGGCAGGUCGCGAGGAGGGGCGACCGGGCGCGGCCGGCGGGAUGCGGGGCUGAGCGUGGAUUUUUUUUAUUUUUUAAUACGGCUUCACCGUCGAUUCCAGAACUGGCAGUGAUUCUAAUCACUGUCGAAAGUCAAAUGAUGGACCAAAAAACAGCGGUGCAGGCUGGUUUGGAGCCGGCGGUGAUGUACCUUUGUGGAGCAGUGAAACUGAUUUCUCUAACAAUCCCUCAUAAUACGUGUGGAUUGGAGGGUACGCAAAAGAAGUCUAAUAUAUAAUGUUAAUCCCAUUAUACAGAGGAUCCAUGUUUCCGUUCCUGUUGUUUGUUUCUAGGAAAAAAUCAUUUUACUCCCUCCACCUAUUUACUUUGUCAACCCCACCCCCUAACCUAUAUGUUGGCUCAAUUUAAUCCCUUCACCUAUUAAUUCCGAAUCAAAUUACCCCCUAAGCAAUAUUUCCAUCAUAAUUUACCUACGUGGCAUUGUUAUGACCGAGUCAAUUCACGUUUGAGGCCAACUAAGCAGUCUGAUGUGGACUGCGAUAGCUGAGUCACAAAAUCGAGCCGAUCUAUAAGCCGUGCCCUAAGCUAUAUCCACAUGGAUGACCGUGACGCCCUUCCCAGAAGCGCAGCCCUGCCACACGAGCGCGUGGAGGUCACCGUCCAUGGCCUCCACCUCUUCCUUUGAUAUCCUCUGGAACGAAGCCGUCGGAAGGGGCACGAACUGACGAUCCUUGAGCCGCUCGUGCCGUUGCUGAAGCUAGCCUGCUUUGCUCACCCUAUCCAUCACUGCCUUCACCACCACCUCUGCGGCGACGGCGCUCUCGCCGAUGACAACCACACAUCGCUUGCUCCAGCUCGCCAUGUAGUCCAGCACGUGCAUGGCGCCAUCAGCGGCGUUGGCUGCGUUGGGGCGCCUCACAUGGUCGGAACCUAGUGGAGAGCUCGUCACCACGUGGCUAGGCAUCUUUUUUGGAUGAUGUUCCGGCGACGAGACAACCUUCGGGACAUUUGACUUGACUUGGGAGCGAGAGAAGCUGGUCUCACGCAUGACGUGGCUGACGCUGGGGUCGUUUGAGGAUGGAAAUGAUGAGUUGCUCAAUCUCGACCUUGGCAGCGGCGGCGAGCUCUGGUUGCGACUGCAGCAGCGGCUGACCUCCUUUGAGGGCGCCCCGGCACUAGGGCGCCUGCGCGCUUGAACGUGGCGACGAGAGCGUUGGACAGCACGGGCACUAUCUAAAACAUGCGGUGGCAUUUUACCUGUGCAAACUAAACCGAUGAAACAAAACAUCAGCAGCGUUUUGGUUAGUGGCCCUGGAAGAUCGGUUUCAGGCUCUAGGGUGAUGGACUUUGCAGCUUGGCGUCCGCUCCGCGCGGACGGAUAUGCGUCAAUGCGUAUUUCGUUUGGAGACAUGCAGCUCGGCUUGUUCUUUUAGCUCGAUGGCCUCGCACUUGUCCACGUCAGUCUGCUUUGUGAGUCUCAAACGUGAAUUGAUUCGGUCAAAACCAUGCCAGGUAAGCAAAUUAUGAUGGAAAUUCUUCUUAGGGGGUAAUUUGACCCAAUAUUAAUAGGUGAAGGGAUUAAAUUGAGCCAAUAUAUAGCUUAGGGGGUGGGUGGACAAAGUAAAUAGGUGGAGAGAGUAAGAUAGACUUUUUCCCAUGUUUCUAUCGGUCAUUAAUCCAUUAAUGUGUAAUCAUACCCCAAUCCCAUACACACCGUACCUGAUACCACUCCACCGCCUUAACUAGCUAGAAAAGUAUGCGGCACUCAUACAACAAAUAUAACAAAAAAAGUAGGAAAUGAUACGUUGCCAUGCCUAGCUCGGAUGCUAGCGGCAUUGCUCUGGAUUAAACCGCAGCCGUUCCCACACCACCCCAUUAUGGCAACAUGAGAGCUCCUCCGCGUGUAACUGCGGCAGCACUUUUCUCUCAGUUCUUAACUUUCUCCUCAAUUUGGUUUAAAUCCAAUGCUAUGGCAUGAGGAAGGGGACGAUGAAAACAUCUGCACCAACGGAAAGGUUGUCUUCAUCUGCGAUAGAGCUUUCCUGAAGUCAAAACCAAUACAAGUCGGUAUGUAUACUAUAAAAAUUACCAGAAACAUAAAUCUAGGAAACAAAACAAAUCAAGGACCAUUUAACAAAAGUAAAACAAAAACAAGAAGAUGGGGACAAAAUGUAAACAACAACCAUGAGCCUCGGAAGGGACAUGGUCUAUUCUCCAAACUCUUGCCACACAACAGGGCGUAGCCAGCGUGAUGCAUGGGUAUUCCGAGGAAUACCCAAAAAUCAACUAUAUAUCAUAUAUAUACAACGUAUACAGGUUAUAAAAGUGACCGUUGGCCUAGCAUUCAGGCAUCAACACCGCCCUAGCCAUCGGAAUUGAGUUGCUCCUGCUUGUCGUUCGUUCCUCAGCCUCCAAAUUGAAAUCGGACCUAGACUUUUGUAUAUACAUAGAUUUUGCUAUAUAUCUAGGUAUAAUUUUAUAUCUACAUGUGUAUAAUAAAAUCUAUAUAUAUCUAGAAAAUAUCAAAACGAACAUUUUGGAACAGAGGUAGUAGCCUUUUACCACAUGUCAGUUCAAAUGUCAUGAUUUUCGCAAAUCAUCAGUCAGAGGUGCUGCUAGCGCCCGGGUUGUGGAGAGCACAAAAAAACAUUUUAUUUGGUUAGCGAAGGAGGGGUGGUGAGAGGCUGAGAGCGGACUCAACAAUGGAGGCAUUGCCGAAGUAUAUCUAGAGGGUUGUAGUUUUGCUGCCGGUUCUCUCUCCGCUACGGUGCGGAAUAUGCCAUCCAAUAACCUUUGCGAAAUUGCCACCUAAUAUAAACCCUAGCAAUUCAAGUGUUUUCAGUACUGAUAAAUUUUUUUAGAAAAAGGAAUUGUCUCCGACCUCUACAACCAUACACAGUCAUGUUUUUACAAAAUCGUUUCUGCACUAACAAGUGGAGCCAGUGAAUCUACAGCACCACAAGCAAUUACGUGCCCAUUGCCCUCUGGACUCUAGUACAUGUCAGUGCAAUAUGUUUAGCUUUAUAAUUUUAGUUUUUCCCUCGAAAACGUGGCUGAGCUUUGUUAUUCUAGUAUAGACCCUUGUCAUCAAGGAUGAUCGUCAAUGUCGUCACUCUCACCAAAGUCCAUCCCAACACUAAAACAUGUUGGCGAAAAAUACUAUGCAAAUUGCCUAGAAACCUAAAUCCUAUCCAGGAAACAAAAACAAAUCAAAUAACGUUAAAUAAAGAACUAAAAGGAAAACGAAAAGAAGUAGAUAAAAUGUUUUUUUUAAAAAAAUUAUACGGGCUCGCUCAGGCCCAUGUGUGACACGAGUCGAACCGUGUGGUCAUUCUCAUAAAUACCAAGUCCUCCUGCUUUUGUCUACCGAAUUUAUUCUAACAAAGCACUAGAAAGCAAGUGAAAUUGCGUGUGCCAUGCUUUAUCUGUGCACGUGUAAAGCAUUUCGGUGUGAUUUCCUUUUUUUGUACGUGUGGUUUUCUAUGUGUACCGAAUUUAUUUUGUGUGGUUUUUCUAACCUCCUUUUCCAUGGCGUGCUGAUUUUUCUUUUCAGAAAUGUGCGGCCACCAUUUUAUAUGGUACAACGUGUACAGCACUGCGGAGCUGAAAAUAAAAAGGUCAUCUUGGAAUCCUGCAAUGUGCAAAAGUCAGAGGUGCCACCUCUCUCGACACACCCAAACUUGUUUCUCCCAUAUAGCCAUAUAUCGAUACUUUUUCUUCUUAUUUUAUCCUUUUUCCCUUCAUGUGAGGAAAUGUACACUACGAGUACAUCUAUAAUUGUACAUCCAAUAUACGGAUAUUUUUCCUUGCAAAAAAUUAGACAUCUUGACCUCAAGAAACAAAAAAUACACACGUGACAUACGUACUGCCAUUACUAUUUUAUAUAUUUAUGUAGACGCAUGUGACACACCACAUUUUUAAAAUAUGUACGAUUGUACAGUCACCGGCUCCACAUAAUUUUUUUAUAGAAAUUUUAGAACAAAACAUGUUGGUUAAAACAUAUAUUCUUUGAAAUAUAGUCUCUUAGGUAUCAUGCCUUUUUGUGGAGAGGGAAGUUGUUCAUUUCAAAUUGUUCAAAUUUACAUCUGCAAUGUGGAGGUUGAAGAGUAAACAUGGCCCUCCACCUCAAGAGAAAUAAACAUGUUCAGACCAAACCUAUAUCUUCCUUUGGGAGGCCUGCACAAUAACCAGUUAGUACGUCAUUGUAAUAUGGGCUGCAAGGGCUCUUGGCUAUAUAGCCAAUGCACUCAAUACUUCAUUAGCGUGUGACUUGAAGUUGUGGAUCAUACAAGGCACGUUAGCAUUUAAAUUUUACUCUUACUUGGAUCAGACAGUGUCAAACAAAGAACCUUAUCAGUAGGACAAAAUAGGUUGAUUCAUGUGAGACUAAUCAAGCAAGAGUAUGAGCAUUGUAUUUUUUAGGGACCAUAUAUAAUUUUAGAGUCUCGGGAAGUCAAAACCUGGACCAGAGGUUUGGGAUUCUCCAGGGAAAGCAAUUCAAAUUAGUAGUUUGUUUAGUUUUAUAAAAUUUUGAGAUCUGUUUUUAAUUUGCACAUCCUUUAUUAACAAAAACUAGAGCAUUAGAGGUUGAGCCGGCCACUAUGUAAGACGUCUUAAAAGGAGACGCGAGUUAACUCACACAGGAGACGUGUUUUUUUCGCGUCUCCAAAUUUUCGUCUCUGAUGUAAAGUCAUACAAGAUGCGAAAAAUCCGCGUCUCCGAUGUAGAGGGUCAUUGGGGAUGCGUUUUGACGGGACAAACAUAUUGUAGAUGCGUUUAGUUUAUCCGCGUCUCCGAUUCAACAUUGGAGACGUGUUUUAAUUCCACGUCUCUAAUAAGGAUGUCUUCUUUGUGAUAUUGUUACAUAGUGGGCAUUGGGGGUAUCAAGAAGUCAAAACUAGACCAUGUGUAUUGAUAGUUGUGAUCGAUUCUGGCUGACUUUUGAAAUCCUAGCCUACCAAACUUUGCUAAUCAUGCUUAAAUGGUUGCUUGUUUGUCAACUUGGUUGCCCAUGUGAAUGGGUAACGAAAAGGGAGUGCUAUGAGUUUUGCACCUGCUUACCUUUAAUUGGUCUAUAAAUUGUCACCGAGAGAGACCAUGCAUGGGUGCACCAGACCACUAGGCACUGGCACUCACAUACAUUCUCCAGCUGCAUACUUCACACUGUACUCAGCGCGUGCCAUGGCAACCUGCAGGAGCCUUCUCAUGGUCCCGGUCACUCUCUGCUUCUUCCUCCUCGUGCUCCCAGCGCAGAGCAAGGAGAACCUUGCCGUCGUCAUCUUCUACGGCACAGCCCGAUGCAAGAGCAACCCCUCCAAGAUCAUCAGCAGUAAGCGAUCUUAUAUUAACUGAUAUACUCGAUCAUGGACCCAAACUUCAGCUAUCAUACGCUAUAGUAUAUCAUAUGUAUAAUCCAC